UUUUAGUCUUACUGUAAGGAGUAUUGUGUUGUGAGAAGAUGGAAUGGUACAGGACAUUCUCUUAAAGCUUUCCUUGCUUUCAGACUGCAGUGGUGUCUAGCAGGGCUCGAUGGGAAGGGAAUUGCAGCCUCUAUAGUAACCAGUAAGUCUGGUCCCAACACAUCAGGGAAGAGCUCGGUCUUCAGAGGAAUUACCUCUGAGAGCUGGAAGAGGGUGUUCCUGGUAACUUGGGGCUUCUCUGUCAGUCUCCCCACGGAAACCACAGUCAGAGCUGUGCUCUGUGGAAAGCCUGCAGUGGCUGCUCCCUCGUGCUGUUCUGCUCUCGACUCUCACUCACUGUGGAUAGUGGGCUGGUGGAGUGCGGGCGCCAGAGGGUAGGGGUGAAUGGAAUGGAAACACAGAGGGAACUGUGACCAGCACGUGCGAUGGUCUCUCCACGGCAGACAGAGCCCUGCGUGGGUGAGAAGCAGACUGCGGAACAGGAUUUGGCUUGAUGGCCACCAGCUCUUCCACAAAAAGGGCGGGUCAUGAGGAGGCUGUAGCCAA
rnacentral:lncRNA from 1 species